AUACGAACUGCGCAAACGUUAUUCGGAAUCACUGGGCUUAAAGGGUCCGUAGGCGGCCAGACAAGUCAGGUGUGAAAGCUCUCGGCUCAACCGAGGAAUUGCGCUUGAAACUGUUUGGCUUGAGUACGAUAGGGGUGUGCGGAACUUCUGGUGGAGCGGUGAAAUGUGUUGGGAUCAGAAGGAACGCCGGUGGCGAAAGCGGCACACUGGGUCGUAACUGACGCUGAGGGACGAAAGCUAGGGUAGCGAACGGGAUUAGAAACCCCGGUAGUCC
rnacentral:rRNA from 1 species